GUUCAGCAUCCAAAUAAAAUAAUUUUCUCUUGCCAGAAGCUGUUCUCUUGCAACCAUCAUUCUAUCUUCCAUCAUGUACUUGAUCAACUUGAUUCUCCUGCUUCUAAUGUGUACACUCUGUGGGGCUUUCUUCAGGUGUGGUUCACUUAACUACAAGGCUGUGGGUUUCACUAAAGGUGAUGGCGAAUCAGGCCGCCCUUGCAUUAAAUGCGAACUCAUAAAUUGGUUCUCUGAUCAAGUAUGCAUUUACUAUAAAUGUGAAGGAAACCUCACAUGUAAAGAAAGCGAAGAUGGUAAACAUAGGUUGUGUAGUUAACUCCGACCGCCCGACCAGUACACCAAUACCCUGUCACCAAUACAAUAAACAAGAUUCCAGAAAAUUGAUCAUUGAAAACAUGUAGGCUACACUUGAGUCGUGUUAGAUUUUUAAUAAAAACUAGUGUCAUGCUGGA